GCUUACGGCCAUACCUCUCUGGCUCCGCCUGAUCUCGUCUGAUCUCAGAAGCUAAGCAGAGUAGGGCCUGAUUAGUACUUGGGAUGGAAGACCGCCUGGGAAUCCCAGGUGCCGUAAGCU
ensembl:rRNA 5S_rRNA 5S ribosomal RNA